rnacentral:rRNA from 1 species
GUGCAGAGGCGAGAAUCCUUCGCAAUGCGGGAAACCGCGACGAGGGGACUCCCAGUGCCUACGCUCAGCGUAGGCUGUUCCCGAGCCUAGAAAGCUCGGGGAGUAAGGGCUGGGUAAGACGGGUGCCAGCCGCCGCGGUAAUACCCGCAGCCCGAGUGGUGGCCACUAUUAUUGGGCCUAAAGCGUCCGUAGCCGGCCCGGUAAAUGCCUGGGUAAAUCGUGAGGCCUAACCUCACGAAUUCCGGGUAGACUGCCGGGCUAGGGACCGGAGGAGGGAGAGGGUACUCCAGGGGUAGGGGUGAAAUCCUGUAAUCCCUGGAGGACCACCGGUGGCGAAGGCGCUCUCCUAGGACGGGUCCGACGGUGAGGGACGAAAGCCAGGGGAGCGAACCGGAUUAGAUACCCCCGUAGU